rnacentral:rRNA from 1 species
UACGGGGGGGGGCAAGCGUUUGUUCGGAAUUACUGGGCGUAAAGGGCUCGUAGGCGGCCAACUAAGUCAGACGUGAAAUCCCUCGGCUUAACCGGGGAACUGCGUCUGAUACUGGAUGGCUUGAGUUUGGGAGAGGGAUGCGGAAUUCCAGGUGUAGCGGUGAAAUGCGUAGAUAUCUGGAGGAACACCGGUGGCGAAGGCGGCAUCCUGGACCAACACUGACGCUGAGUGAGCGAAAGCCAGGGGAGCAAACGGG